rnacentral:rRNA from 1 species
GUACACUCCUACGGGAGGCAGCAGUGGGGAAUUUUGGACAAUGGGCGAAAGCCUGAUCCAGCAAUGCCGCGUGAGUGAAGAAGGACUUCGGGUUGUAAAGCUCUUUUGUCAGGGAAGAAACGGUGAAAGCUAAUAUCUUUUGCUAAUGACGGUACCUGAAGAAUAAGCACCGGCUAACUACGUGCCAGCAGCCGCGGUAAUACGUAGGGUGCAAGCGUUAAUCGGAAUUACUGGGCGUAAAGCGUGCGCAGGCGGUUUUGUAAGUCUGAUGUGAAAUCCCCGGGCUCAACCUGGGAAUUGCAUUGGAGACUGCAAGGCUAGAAUCUGGUAGAGGGGGGUAGAAUUCCACGUGUAGCAGUGAAAUGCGUAGAUAUGUGGAGGAACACCGAUGGCGAAGGCAGCCCCCUGGGUCAAGAUUGACGCUCAUGCACGAAAGCGUGGGGAGCAAACAGGAUUAGAAACCCUUGUAGUCCCAUGAU